AGCAGUGUAAGGAGAUCCAUGAUUCACUGUGCUCAGGGAAUGAAGGAGGACAGGGAUUGGAUAGCAGAGGGUUGAACACACAGUUAUAAUACUGGUAGGGACCAUGUGGAGGAUGCUGAAUGAGUAGGAUGUGGAUAUUUAUCACAUUAUGGGGGGCAGCAGCUUUUCCAGUUGUCCCACUUCUGCAGGGGGAGUGAGGCAUUUCAGGGCAAUGAUCUCCCCUUCCUGUGAGGUGCUGGGACACUUCAGGGGAUGCUAGCUGCAUCCAAGGCUACUACUACCCACUGAGAGGCCUUAUGGCCCAGGGUUUCUCUGAGUCACCAUGCCAGAAGAUAUCAAUUCAUAUAUUUAUGAAAUUCAGGACAGACUCACAGCUUUAGUACUGAGAAAUUAUAUGAUAUUGUAUUACCCUUUUGGUCUUGACAUUUACAGUCCCCUUUCACUGGACUUCAGGUUAUAACUGUGCUGCAGCUGUAACAGCAUUUUAUUCUGACAGUCAUUUACUCUCAGCUGUAACCACAGCUACAAGCAGGAGUUAGACCUAUACACUACAGGAGAGGAUGUUUUUCUUUCAAGCAGUCUCUGGGAAAACUCUUGAAAUGAGCCUCCACAUUUUGUACACAUUGUUAGUGUAAUCUUUAAUUCUGCUAAAAAGCAAUGGAAAUGGGGUUAGUUUUAUUCCUUGUAAGCUUCAAAUCCAAAUGUGAGAGUAAAAUAAUAGAUAAAAAGAUAAAAGCCCCAUUCAGCUCAGUUUAUAUGCAUCAGUGUUCUAUCUGAGGAGGUUUUUUAGGUGUCUCUCCUUUUAAAACUAUCGGUUAUCUUUACUGCCACAUUCACUUAACCUCCCCCUAAACACCAGCUUCAAAGCCUCAGUGCUUUCGAGGCACCAUUGAUCUUUCAAAUACAAAAAAAUAUUGCUUUUUGCUAAAAGAUGGGCUUUGUUCCUUUUGUUGGGUAAGCAGAAUGUCCCAGCAGUCUCAGCACUUCAUCAUUAACUGCUGACCAUAAUUCACACCCAGCUUGGGAGAGAACUGGAGGAAAAAGAAAAAUGGUUUUGCCUCCCUACCCCUAACCCCAUGCCACCACAUUAUUUGUCACAAAAUUGCUACGCUGUUCAUGAGCAUAAAUCAGUAUCAUUCAGAAAUCAAACGUCAAAGGAAACAAUAAAAGUCCCAGGAUUUUAUGAAUGGGAGGGAUUGUCCUGCACUGCCAAACUUGGAUCAAUGCAAAACUGGCAGGGGACACCACUGCAAUGCAAUAAAUGCUGCCAUCUGUUAACUUUGAGUUCCUGGAGCAUGUAAAAGGCACCAGUGAAAAUCAGCCCUGCCUUGACAUGAGGUACUCAGGCAUCUCUUUCCCACCCUCAAGGGCAGCAGGCAAAGCCACUGUGUAGUGACAGUGGUGACACUUUGCCUCACUGGUGUCACUCCAGGGAAAGACACCUGGGGUGCCAGGACUGUUGUGAGGCAUCCCCGUUGUGGAAAGCAGUGGUGGAAAGACCUCUGAAGGUGGUUUGAUGCUUGCAAAAGUCAGUGCCUUGGUGGCAUCUGGGCUCUAUUUCUCUGCCUGGGUACAACGCCCAGCACACUAGAAAGAGCUUUGUGUAUUUUCGUGUACAUAAAGCCACUAUUUUUACUACAGCAGCUCACCCCAGUCUGAGGUGGUUCAGGAGAGCAUGCUGGGCAAGGGGACUGCUUCUUGCCUCCCUGCAAGCACUCAUCUAUCUCCAAGUGCAUGGGACAUGUUUCUCAGGUCCUGUCACCCCUCAGAAGAAUCUUGCCCAUUCCCCCUCCUGCAUGGGGUGUGAGGGCUGCCUGCCAGCAAUCGCCAUGGGAACAAAUGACUUCCCACAUCACCAUGCUGCUGGCUGCUUGGCUGACGGGUGUUUGUAUUGUUCCUGCACACUCAGGCAUGAUGCGUUUGGGAUAAUUUAUACCCAAGAUACCUGCAGCUGAGGUCUUAAACAUGGACACACUCCAACAGAUAACAGGCCAUUGUUCUCUGCUGUGCAGAGAAAUCUGUGAAUCCUAAUGACAGAAACAGAAAGGAAGAGGAAACACCCACGUGCAAAAGCACUCUGCUCAAAAACUACCCAAUUAUUUUUAGUGUAGAGUACUACUCAUGUUUGCAGACCUGUUUUUUUUCCCACCUUGAGUUCAUGCAGAGGGGAGGAUAAAUGUCCGUUAUAGCUCAUCAUUUCAAUUUUCUUAACAUUCAGAUAACGUAUUUCCAAGUGCAAAGACUGGGUAGACAAUACUGCCUACGUGUGCGACACUGCUGGAAACAGUCCUUGUGUGCUUAUCUUUGAAAAUCUGGCCCCUUGGGGGCUAUGAUAAUUUCCCUCAUUACUUUAGCUGGGCCUCUCUAAUGCCCUUCCUCUCCCAGGUGCAUGGUGGCUUGGAACUGCAGCCACGUGCCCCACGAACACAUUGGGAGCUGCUGACCAUACCACAGAUUCACUGGGAAACUGCAGGAGGGACCAUCUGUGCCUGAUUAUGGACCUGCAAUCCAUAAUCCAAACAUUGAUCCCACAGCAGGGACAAGCAUGCAGAUGAACCUCUCAAAAGAUUUAAUUAUGUAGAAGUUAUUUCUAUUUUGAAAUUUUACAGCAUUUCCAUUUCGAAAAUUAUCUACUAGGAAAAAAUGCUUGUUUUGUCUAUUUGUGUCAAAAUAUUUGUGUCCCUGCUACCCUGUUCCUUAGUUCACUUUGUAUUUAUGGGAAACAGUGCACACAUCAUGAUGCUGUACAUGUUCUGAGAAGCAUUUUUCCUCAAUACCAGAUUCAGUGAUCCUGAUUAAACUGAGAUGUGCCUGUGUUUCCACUGAACGUGAAUAAUGGCAGCUAGGUCCUUACCACCAAAGUGAUUAAAAAUAUGCAGUUAGCGUGAAGCUAAACAGAACAGCCUUAUAAGCUGAUUUUUAGCUUAGCUGGUUUUCACCUAGCAAGAACUUCACCAGGAGGAAAAUAAGACUAAUCAGACAAGCAAAAGAAAAAAAAAAAAAAGGCAGUUCACAUUUAUUUGCCAAUUAGGUCUCAAAACACUGUGAGCAAUGACUGGCAGGAGCCUGGAACCCAGCUAUCUUUGCUAAGUGAUCACUUAUAUGGUGCUAUGGCCCAGCAAUUAUUUACUAUAUUAUCAGAUAACCAUGUUUGAUCAGAGCUAUUAACUAAUUUAGGUAAUUCACAUGCAGUCUCUACCCUGUAUGACAGAGUGAAGAGAUUUACAGCACCUUUGUUUGACCAGGGACACUGCAGUUCAAAAUCACAGAGGGAAAUGCUGAUGUUGUAGACUGCUGGUCUUUUGCUGUGUGGGUGAACAUUUAGAAAUGCCUUUUUCCCCCAUCAUGCUGUGGUCGAGGUGGUUUCCUUUUGCAGCCCAGUUCCAUGAGGAGAUGGGUCAUAUGGGUCAAGAGAGAUGAGCCGCUGGCCAAAGCCCUCCUCACUCGACACAAACCCACUGGUCUGCUGUGAGCUCACAGCUGGAAGGAGGCACAGUGAGGGUGAUGGAUACUGAACUGCCUGCAGCCUGUCACUGAUGGGGAUGUGUCUAAGCCAUGAGGGCUGAACAGGGGAUGCCUCAGAUGCCUUCUGGACAUGGGCCGUGGUGGUUCUCUUUCCCCUUGUCUUUCCCACAGCAGCCAAUGAUCAGUGCAGAGCCACGGCUUGCCCACACCAUGGGGAGCCCUCCAGAGCUUGUCCCAAAAAGCAGUUUUAAAGGUCAGCAUUACUGCCUGAUGCUGGUAUAUCUAAAAGUCACCUCCAGAAGAAAAUUGGAGUUUUUGAUCCCCCUCCUAGUGCCACAGCCAUUGAAUGGGAAUGCCAACUCUUCCUGCAGCAGGACUCCCAUGGACACUGUCUUGCCACAUGGGCAGGGACGUCCAGCUUCGCGGUGGCUGUUUCCAUCAAGCCCCAGCUGCUACUUCUCACUGCAGGCACCACACUAGGGACCAGGAACACUGGCAGCCAGUGAGGCACUAGGAGACCACUGGGAGGAGGAAUGACUACAUCAGUCCAGAGAUGGGCAGUCAGAGCUCUCAGCCUCCAAGCUGCACAGCCUCUGGCAAACUUUGAGACCUGGGGAAAGGCUCACAAGAUGCAUCAGCCCACCUGCACAACAAGAUCUAUCUGGUACUUCUGGGGAAGAGAAGGUGAAGCAGCAGCUGCAAGGAAACCAUGUGGCUAGCAGCACCCUGCCUGCAGUAGGGACCAGUCCCAGCUCCAUCCCAAAAAAGGUGCAAACUCCCCAGAGGGAAGGCUGCAAACCUAAUAAGAAACAUAGAAGGGCAGCCAUGGCUUUUGCCUCUUUCCCACUGCUGACCUGUAGUGGGGAGUGUUGCUUUGAAAUACAAACAAGGACAUGAGGCACCUUUUACGAAAAGGGAAGAAGAAAAAGAAACAAAAACAAGGAAACGGAAGCAUCAUCGAAACUACAUCUGCCUGCCUGACAGGACUGAGGAACCCAAGCCAGACUGGCUACUGCCCUAACAAAACAAAUUUGAUUUUGUGUAUUUUUCUGGCAAAAGACUCAAUCUCAGCCCCCACAUGUCUGUAGACUAAAUUUGCCUCAAAUUCUGA